AAGUCCACUUGACCCCAUGUGUCUGUGUUAAUAUUAAAUAGCUAAAUAAUAGAUUUAUGCUACUAAACAACUACAAAAAAUUAAACUAGAAUUUCAGGUAAAUGGCUGAUAUGCUAUGAAAUAAAAAAGCAUGUGUGUACAUCUAUUUUUGUGUGUGUAAGUCUCCAAACAAGAGCCUCAUCCAAAGAAUCUUGGUAGAACUCUUUAUCACAAUGUACACAGUUUUUACGUACACUGCCAGGACAGUAAAAGAGUGCUAGAUAGUCAUCCCUUAUCAGCUGAGAGCAUUUAAGGGAAUAAUCUUCUUUUCUAGGGCUUUAAUUUCUGAUGCACUAAGUCUGGAAAAUAUCAGUUUGAGCAUCAGGUUUUUUAGACUGCCAAACAAGACAAGGGAAAAGUUAGCAGGUUUUUCAAGACUCUGGUUAAAAAUCUAUAGAGAUGACAGAGGCAUUCGAUCAAUAGUAAUGAACUGUAAUCAUGUAGCAAGAGUUUUGCUCUUUUACUAGAAAUAGCCAUCUUGUGAUGUUCCACGUAUGACAAUAUAUUAGAUAUAAACAUCUAUGAGGCCCUACUCUAGGCCCUUUACAUUAAAGGAUCCACAUCAAUACAUCCGAUCCACAGGGGAAGGACAUGUUCGUCUGGAGCUCACACUCCAGCAUGUUCUCCAGAAUUCCCAUCCAAACAAGCUUCCUAAUCUACGUUUAAGUUCUGCAUGAUCCUUUCUCCCACAUCAGACUUCCUGAGGCUGGUACGAACUGUCAGUUAUUUGGAGGAAGGUGAAUAGAAACAGUUUGGAUAUAUGGCUGGGCAUCCACCUGCACGUCCAAAAGGCUACUUGCAAACUGUAGGAAUGUCAGAGCUGGGUAGAAAGGAAAGAUGACCCAUAAGGGUACAAAAUAUUAGGGAUGGGCAAGAAUCUGUGUAUGGAUGAACAUGUAUUUAUCAGGGUAAUCAAUAGGGAUGAAACUAGGCUUCAUGAACCUUCCAAUUACUGUAUAAUAACCUUUGUUAACUGGUCUUAUAAUAUUCUCAUAUUUCCCCUUCUGAAGAUCUCUAAUUAUAUUAGUCUUAUUUUAUUAUUAAAAGUAACUUCCAAAGAAAAAUCUGGAAUGCAAUGGAGACAGAGAACUGUUUCUUAAAUGUAAUCCUCAAAUUUGAAAUUUAUAAAUAACUUUAAAGAGCCUUUAAGUUUGUCAUUUCUUUUCAUUAUUGAAAAAUUGUAUAAUGGAUCUAAUCAUGAUUACAUCAUUUUAUAUAUUAAUGUGAAAGAUAUUGCAUGCAAGAUAAUGUAAGGAUAAAAAGUAUAUUAAUGCAAUAUAGGUUUAUCUUUUUUUAAUGUUUUAUUUAUUUUUGAGAGAGAGAGAGUGACAGAGUACAAGUGGGGGAAGGGCAGAGAGGGAGACUCAGAAUCUGAAGCAGGUUCCAGGCUCUGAGCUGUCAGCACAGAGCCCUAUACCGGGCUCUGACUCACAAACUGUAAGAUCAAAGUUGGAAUCUUUGGCCUUACCCAAAACCUCUUGAAUAAGAAUUUAUUGGGAGUAUAGACCAUGAAUCUUUAUUUUAGAUACACAGAGAUGAAAACUUAACAAUAGAGGAUCUAAUAAACUAGUAGAAUUUAUGUACAGGUCAAGCUAACAGGGAGAUUUAGCUUGAUUCAAAUAUAACAGAACUGAAAACAAACCCAACAAAAUCUACCCCCAAAGAUUUAAUGUUGGUGCAACAAAACACAAAGUAUUGACUGAGGAAUUGGUAAAAAACAAAGAUAAUAAAGGUGAAUUAGACAAGAUAGGCUAUCAGCUGUCAUAAGCAGCAUCCAAAUCUCAAUAGCUUAUCAUUAUACCAUUUAUUACACUUUGCAGUCUCGUCAUCUCCUGAGAAACAGUUGUGGGCCUGGAAUUCUGUUCUAAUACCAAGCAGAGAUCUGUGAUUGCUGGGUGAGAAGAAGAAAAAAUCUCCUGUCCAAGAUGCACCACAGAAUAAGGACUCAUCAUGGGAAUGCUCAGUGUUACCACAGGAGAGUGGAAAAGCAGAAAGAGGACCAAGCACUCGUCCUUGAGGAGCAGCAAGCAUGAAGAGGCAGCAGGAAGAGAAGCUAGAGAUACCCUUUUUGACAGAAGAACCCAAAGAACUCAGUGUCAUGUAACAAAACAAAACAAGUGGUGUUAUGUGUGCCUGUACACUUCAGUAAACUUGAUCAUGUGUAGAUUGCAGGCUCUUUGAAGGUAAGAGGUAAAGACUCUAGCUUAAGCCAUAUUUUUAAUUAUCAAAUUUCCUAGCAAAAUCAAGUACAUAGCUGGCACUGAAAGUUUAGCUAUUUCAGUUUCUGUUCAUUCCCUCAGGAUAGGGGAAGUCUCCAUGCUUUGCAGACAAUGAGGCGCUUUGGGGUAUUUUCAGACUGCUGAUGCUGAACUUUGCAUGUAACUUGCUCUACUCUUUGGGAUACUUUAGAAGUGAAGUAUAAAUAUUUAAAAAGGAAGGGGUUAUUACUGUGUUUUCUUUGAUUGAUAUAGUUGAGGAAGGAAAACCUGAACAUUUAAAGAUAUUCUAUAUGUUCUGCCUUUAAAUCAACUGAAAUAACUUCAGUAACCUCCCAGUUGCUCUGGUAAUCAGCCUUUUUUAAGGUGAUAUCUAAAGUAACAUGGAUUCUGCAUUAGUAUUGUAAUACAUGGCAAGAUUCUGA